AUGUGCUAUUGUGUUUUUUUGUCUCUGGUUUGCCAGGGCCUGGGAGGAGUUUCAUGGCCUGGUGAACAGCAGCGGCCGCUGAUCGGACGCUCCCCUCUGUCUCUCACACUCAGGGGACAAUUCAAGCUUUCGAAAUACAAAAAUCACAUUGUGAAAGUACACAAGCUGGCAAUAACCCUCUUCUGUGUGUGUGUGUCCGGAAUGGAUGGGAGGUCUCCGGCCGGUCCCUCCGGCCGCUCACUGAAGGGACGCCCCUGAGCCGUGGGCUCCCCUUUUGCACUCAUUCCUGGAGGACAGAUUCCGCUAGACACCCUCCAGCGUCGCCGACUUUAUAAAGCGGAACAACAGAAAACGUGACUUUGUAAUAGACAAACUUUUUUUUUAAACGGGGUUCUGUUGGGGGCGGGGGGCGUUCGGCCCUUGGCUUCGCUGUGUGCUCUCCUCUGCUGUACGAAGGGCGUCGUGACCACGCGUGAAGCCAGAGCUGUGGACUGAGCGUUAGCAGUGUUAUGACUGUGCGUCCAGGAAGAGUCCCAGAACAGCCAUAAGUGCUCUCUUCUGGCUCUGCCAUGAAAUUAUCGGGACAUUUUGUUUAUUUCUCUCCCCUCCUCCCCCAAACCCACCAUUUUCUGAAAAUGUGUUAAUUGAUUUUGUAUAGUCUCCUGCCUUGUGCCCUCAGUUCUUCCCUCCUGUGGGGCUCUUUCUUCUUAGGCACUGCCGCACUUAGAACGUUAGUCCGGCGGGCACACUGGUCUCCCUGCGGCAGCUCGAGGGGCGCCUUGGUGAAGGAGCCUGGCACGGAAUGCAGCUGGAUCAGGAGCCAGGUCACCGUCAUGGUACUGGGCGCCGGAUUCGGAGCUGAGGGCAGUGUCCAAACCCGGACGGGCAGGGCCUGCGUGUCCAGCCUGUUGUGUGACCCUCACUGAGGAGGGGAAGCAUGAGCUUGGUCGUUGCCCGGUAUGAACGCUUAAUGUGGUAAAUUCUAUGAUCCCGAAACUGGGACAUCUGAAGAAAAGGUGACCGUGAUGGGUGGCUUUCUUUGUGCAGCUGUGCCUGUCUGCGUGGCUGAGGAAACCUGCUUUCAGUCCUUGUCACCUUGUAGAUGUGCUAGUAAUGCGUGCUGAUCCGUGAUGCCCAGACAGAACCCUCCAGUAGCUGCUGUAAGCAUCUUUUCAAACGACCAGUCAGGCAUCAGAGAAGCUGUGAUCUGACUCCAGAGGAUUGAAGUCAGAGAGGUCAAAAGAGCAGCUCGGAUGAAAUCAGUACUGGGUCGGCCUGCAGGGGCGCCGUCUUACUUGGCUCUUGUGAGCAGAGAUCUGCAGUACCUUAAAUUAAGGCCUCUCCUAAAACCUGUCCUUGAAGGCCAGGGCCUUCGCCACCUGCUCUCGGAGAAGUCCUGUGAGAGCCACAGGCGUUUCCUUCUUGUAUUUAUAUUACUCUCUUCUACUUUGCAACUCCUGAACACCCUCUAAUUACCACUGUCUUGGGAUGCUCUUUCCCGAAAGAACAGGAGUGCAGGAGCCGAAAGGGAGGUGCUUCCGUUAGGCGAAGUUAGAUCGGGUAAGAAGAUCUAGCAGUGGUUGAAACUCCAGGAAUGUGAAGAAUGAAUUGUAGCGCCCAGAUCAUUGUGAAGGGCGCAGGCAAAUG
ensembl:lncRNA